rnacentral:rRNA from 1 species
GAUGAACGCUGGCGGCGUGCCUAAUACAUGCAAGUCGAGCGGUAAGGCUUUCACAGAUUAUUUAACCAGAUAAGUUCUUCGGAAAACUGUUUGCAGCGAUGAUUCCCCGGCUAGGGAAUCAGAGUUGAAUAAUGCGUGAAAGUACACGAGCGGCGGACGGCUGAGUAACACGUAGGAACGUACCCCAAAGUGAGGGAUAAGCACCGGAAACGGUGUCUAAUACCGCAUGUGAUCUUCGGAUUAAAGCUUCGGCGCUUUGGGAACGGCCUGCGCAUGAUUAGCUUGUUGGUGAGGUAAAGCUCACCAAGGCGACGAUCAUUAGCUGGUCUGAGAGGAUGAUCAGCCAGACUGGGACUGAGAACGGCCCAGACUCCUACGGGAGGCAGCAGUAGGGAAUUUUCCACAAUGGACGAAGUCUGAUGGAGCAACGCCGCGUGCAGGAUGAAGGGUUCGGCUCGUAAACGUGCUUUAUCUGU